AUUGAACGCUGGCGGCAGGCCUAACACAUGCAAGUCGAACGAGCGGCGGACGGGUGAGUAAUGUAUGGGAAUCUGCCCGAUAGAGGGGGAUAACUACUGGAAACGGUGGCUAAUACCGCAUACUAUCGGAUGAACCCAUAUGGGAUUAGCUAGUUGGUUGGGUAAAGGCUCACCAAGGCGACGAUCUCUAGCUGGUCUGAGAGGAUUAUCAGCGACACUGGGACUGAGACACGGCCCAGACUCCUACGGGAGGCAGCAGUGGGGAAUAUUCGGCAAUGGGGGAAAGUCGGACCGAGCAACGCCGCGUGAGUGAAGAAGGUUUUCGGAUCGUAAAGUUCUUUUGUUAGAGAAGCGGUAUCUACAGAGAAAGCACCGGCUAACUACGUGCCAGCAGCCGCGGUAAUAC
rnacentral:rRNA from 1 species